rnacentral:sRNA from 2 species
AUACUAUCAUAAGUGCCGUAGACAGCAGGUGUUUAUACGUAAAGGCUUUUGCUUACCUGCCGAGGAUUUAUCGUUUGAAUUUUCAACCUCUCUCGGCUACUAGCGUGAGAGGUUUUUUUAUA